UAGAAAAGUGUACGGUGUACUCAAGGAUGAUUUAUGUAAAGGAGCCUAUUAUACGAAGCAUCCCUUUGUCGUUUUGUUUUGUCUGGAGACGCAUGGAAGCAUUGGAACGCGUUGACGGGAGUCAAUUUUUGACAAGAAAUUGUGAUCAACUAAAAUAUUGACAGCUGUAGAGAAUUAGAUUCAUGGAUGUGUUAAAUUUGACUCUGCCCUGAUUGGAAUCUAUGUCACCAAUAAUCAUGUGGAGAUGGCAUUAUGUUGAACCUUCAACAUUAAAGGUUUUACAACAGU
rnacentral:lncRNA from 1 species